rnacentral:rRNA from 1 species
CCUACGGGUGGCAGCAGUGAGGAAUAUUGGUCAAUGGUCGGGAGACUGAACCAGCCAAGCCGCGUGAGGGAGGAAGGUACAGCGUAUCGUAAACCUCUUUUGUCAGGGAACAAAGACUGGGACGCGUCCCCGGAUGAGUGUACCUGAAGAAAAAGCAUCGGCUAACUCCGUGCCAGCAGCCGCGGUAAUACGGAGGAUGCGAGCGUUAUCCGGAUGUAUUGGGUUUAAGGGGUGCGCAGUGGGUCUGUUAAGUCAGCGGUAAAAGCCCGGGGCUAAGCCCAGCCCUGCCGUUGAAACUGGCAGUCUCGAGUUGGAGAGAGGUAUGCGGAAUGCGCGGUGUAGCGGUGAAAUGCAUAGAUAUCGCGCAGAACUCCGAUUGCGAAGGCAGCAUGCCGGCUCCACACUGACGCUGAGGCACGAAAGCGUGGGUAUCGAACAGGAUUAGAUACCCGAGUAGUC